CGUGAAGUUGGGUGAUAUGACAUAUAUGAAGUUGGAUAUAUAUACAUAUAUAUUUAAAAAUUCAGCAUGUGUAAAUAAAUUAGUAAGCAUGAAUUCAAACGUAUAUGAAGAGGUACAUCAUAUUUUGUUGCAAUUGAAAUAUUGCACAAUUGAGCUACAGUUAUAAACACAUUUAUAAAUGAACAAAAAUAGCAUUCAUUUAGAUAACCACGGUCUACAAACAGUUCACGCUACACGGGAUGUAAACACGCAGGUGCGCGUGACGUCACGUAUUAUAUUGUAUCUUAUGGUCUUGUCCGUCAAUUGGCACAGUGAUCCGCUCUAACGAAUAGGCUAAUGGACCCGUAAAUAAACUUUGAAAUACAUACAUACAUUGCCACAAUUGCGAAAUGGAAAGUUCGGUUCACUUGAGACCAGCGAAAGUCGGAGACGAACAUUUCAUUUAUGAAGACUGGGUUGGAUUUGAUAUGUCACGCCAUAAAGCCAACGUUGCGCUGGAUCCAAAGUACCUGAUGGUCGCAGUAGAUGAGAAUGACGAACCGGUCGGAUACGGAGGAAUUACCCACGUCACACCAGAUAUUUAUUAUAUUGGAAACUUAAUUGUACGGAAGGACUUGAGAAAGAAAGGGAUCGGAGAAUUGAUAUGCCAAGCUUUGUUUGAUUGUUUGAGCGAGCUGGGGACAAAAACAUCGCUUUGGAUGCCGUAUCUUUUAUGGUGGAUUGGUACGAAAAGAAAGGCUUCAAAUUUCGUACAUCAAAAGUAGCAUUUUGCCAAAUUUGCGUUAAUGAGGAUCUGAAAAAAGCGAUUCAGUCUGAAUACACGUGCAGGGAUUUAACACAAGAUCUUUGGCCAAUGGUGAUGAAGUAUGACAGACAAGUGUAUCCAACCCUUGAUCGGGAGCGAAUUCUGCGGGCCUGGUUCUGCGUGGACGGGUGUCGGGCUGUGGUUGCGUUGCGUGGUAACCAGGUAGUGGGGUAUGGAAGCAUUCAUGAAAAGCCCCAUCAAGAAUACGGUUUAAAGAACGUCUUUGCAGAUAAUGAAAGCGUUGUUGAAGCAAUUGUAAGAGAGCUAUUUAAAGAUAUACCGGAAGAUCGGUUGGUGCAUUUUGAGAAAGAUGAAGGAAAACCAAUGCCAAAGUAUCUGGAACAAAGCGUUUCUCGUUAUGACUAUUCUUGCAUUCGAAUGUAUAACAAAUAUCCUGUGGAGACGAUUGGGGACAAAAUGUGGUUAACAUCUGCGGCCAUACUUUGAAAUUUGUAUAAACACUGAUUAACCGUUCAUAUAAUGGACGCAGUUAAGUAACGAUUAUGCCGUCAAUAUUCAUGAAGGGAAUUGUUCACAUUUUGGUAAAAUGACGAUAAUUAAUAUAAUUGUCAUCGUUUAAAAUAGUUAACAUUAUGCUUGAACAACCGAAUUGACACUCCUUGCUUAGAAAUAAAGAGUACUAGUUUAUCAACGGAUUAUCAUCUAGUGAUAUCGGCAAAAUAAAGCGUGUGUAACGCUUUUCCUAAAGUUUGAUCAAACGUUUUGGUUUUGUGUUUAUAAUGCUCGAAAAAAGUGACGCCUGCAUAUUGAGUUUAAUAUUUACGAAUCUAGGGCAUGAACAUAAUAAAACUCUAUUGUUUUUA